GGGUUUGUAGCUCAGUUGGUUAGAGCAUCAGAAUGACACUCAGAGGGUCAUAGGUUCAACUCCUAUCAAAUCCA
rnacentral:tRNA from 1 species